rnacentral:rRNA from 1 species
GGGUUGUGAGGUUAAGCGACUAAGCGUACACGGUGGAUGCCCUGGCAGUCAGAGGCGAUGAAGGACGUGCUAAUCUGCGAAAAGCGUCGGUAAGGUGAUAUGAACCGUUAUAACCGGCGAUGUCCGAAUGGGGAAACCCAGUGUGAUUCGUCACACUAUCGUUAACUGAAUACAUAGGUUAACGAGGCGAACCGGGGGAACUGAAACAUCUAAGUACCCCGAGGAAAAGAAAUCAACCGAGAUUCCCCCAGUAGCGGCGAGCGAACGGGGAGCAGCCCAGAGUCUGAAUCAGCUUGUGUGUUAGUGGAACGGUCUGGAAAGUCCGACGGUACAGGGUGAUAGUCCCGUACACCAAAAUGCACAGGUUGUGAACUCGAAGAGUAGGGCGGGACACGUGGUAUCCUGUCUGAAUAUGGGGGGACCAUCCUCCAAGGCUAAAUACUCCUGACUGACCGAUAGUGAACCAGUACCGUGAGGGAAAGGCGAAAAGAACCCCGGCGAGGGGAGUGAAAAAGAACCUGAAACCGUGUACGUACAAGCAGUGGGAGCACCUUCGGGUGUGACUGCGUACCUUUUGUAUAAUGGGUCAGCGACUUAUAUUCUGUAGCAAGGUUAACCGUAUAGGGGAGCCGCAGGGAAACCGAGUCUUAACUGGGCGUUAAGUUGCAGGGUAUAGACCCGAAACCCGGUGAUCUAGCCAUGGGCAGGUUGAAGGUUGGGUAACACUAACUGGAGGACCGAACCGACUAAUGUUGAAAAAUUAGCGGAUGACUUGUGGCUGGGGGUGAAAGGCCAAUCAAACCGGGAGAUAGCUGGUUCUCCCCGAAAGCUAUUUAGGUAGCGCCUCGUGAACUCAUCUUCGGGGGUAGAGCACUGUUUCGGCUAGGGGGUCAUCCCGACUUACCAACCCGAUGCAAACUACGAAUACCGAAGAAUGUUAUCACGGGAGACACACGGCGGGUGCUAACGUCCGUCGUGAAGAGGGAAACAACCCAGACCGCCAGCUAAGGUCCCAAAGUCAUGGUUAAGUGGGAAACGAUGUGGGAAGGCACAGACAGCCAGGAUGUUGGCUUAGAAGCAGCCAUCAUUUAAAGAAAGCGUAAUAGCUCACUGGUCGAGUCGGCCUGCGCGGAAGAUGUAACGGGGCUAAACCAUGCACCGAAGCUGCGGCAGCGACACUAUGUGUUGUUGGGUAGGGGAGCGUUCUGUAAGCCUGCGAAGGUGACCUGUGAGGGUUGCUGGAGGUAUCAGAAGUGCGAAUGCUGACAUAAGUAACGAUAAAGCGGGUGAAAAGCCCGCUCGCCGGAAGACCAAGGGUUCCUGUCCAACGUUAAUCGGGGCAGGGUGAGUCGACCCCUAAGGCGAGGCCGAAAGGCGUAGUCGAUGGGAAACAGGUUAAUAUUCCUGUACUUGGUGUUACUGCGAAGGGGGGACGGAGAAGGCUAUGUUAGCCGGGCGACGGUUGUCCCGGUUUAAGCAUGUAGGCUGGUUAUCCAGGCAAAUCCGGAUAAUCAAGGCUGAGGUGUGAUGACGAGGCACUACGGUGCUGAAGUAACAAAUGCCCUGCUUCCAGGAAAAGCCUCUAAGCAUCAGGUAACAUCAAAUCGUACCCCAAACCGACACAGGUGGUCAGGUAGAGAAUACCAAGGCGCUUGAGAGAACUCGGGUGAAGGAACUAGGCAAAAUGGUGCCGUAACUUCGGGAGAAGGCACGCUGGUGUGUAGGUGAAGUCCCUGCGGAUGGAGCUGAGACCAGUCGAAGAUACCAGCUGGCUGCAACUGUUUAUUAAAAACACAGCACUGUGCAAACACGAAAGUGGACGUAUACGGUGUGACGCCUGCCCGGUGCCGGAAGGUUAAUUGAUGGGGUUAUCCGUAAGGAGAAGCUCUUGAUCGAAGCCCCGGUAAACGGCGGCCGUAACUAUAACGGUCCUAAGGUAGCGAAAUUCCUUGUCGGGUAAGUUCCGACCUGCACGAAUGGCGUAAUGAUGGCCAGGCUGUCUCCACCCGAGACUCAGUGAAAUUGAACUCGCUGUGAAGAUGCAGUGUACCCGCGGCAAGACGGAAAGACCCCGUGAACCUUUACUAUAGCUUGACACUGAACAUUGAGCCUUGAUGUGUAGGAUAGGUGGGAGGCUUUGAAGCGUGGACGCCAGUCUGCGUGGAGCCAACCUUGAAAUACCACCCUUUAAUGUUUGAUGUUCUAACGUUGGCCCCUGACCGGGGUUGCGGACAGUGUCUGGUGGGUAGUUUGACUGGGGCGGUCUCCUCCCAAAGCGUAACGGAGGAGCACGAAGGUUAGCUAAUCCUGGUCGGACAUCAGGAGGUUAGUGCAAUGGCAUAAGCUAGCUUGACUGCGAGCGUGACGGCGCGAGCAGGUGCGAAAGCAGGUCAUAGUGAUCCGGUGGUUCUGAAUGGAAGGGCCAUCGCUCAACGGAUAAAAGGUACUCCGGGGAUAACAGGCUGAUACCGCCCAAGAGUUCAUAUCGACGGCGGUGUUUGGCACCUCGAUGUCGGCUCAUCACAUCCUGGGGCUGAAGUAGGUCCCAAGGGUAUGGCUGUUCGCCAUUUAAAGUGGUACGCGAGCUGGGUUUAGAACGUCGUGAGACAGUUCGGUCCCUAUCUGCCGUGGGCGCUGGAGAAUUGAGGGGGGCUGCUCCUAGUACGAGAGGACCGGAGUGGACGCAUCACUGGUGUUCGGGUUGUCAUGCCAAUGGCACUGCCCGGUAGCUAAAUGCGGAAGAGAUAAGUGCUGAAAGCAUCUAAGCACGAAACUUGCCCCGAGAUGAGUUCUCCCUGAGACUUUAAGUCUCCUGAAGGAACGUUGAAGACGACGACGUUGAUAGGCCGGGUGUGUAAGCGCAGCGAUGCGUUGAGCUAACCGGUACUAAUGAACCGUGAGGCUUAACCUUACAACGCCGAAG